rnacentral:piRNA from 1 species
UGAAGCCUAAGGGAACAAAGUUUCAGG